rnacentral:lncRNA from 1 species
UGCAGGUUCGCCAGCCAUUGAAUGAGCGCUAAUUGAGCUGGGCGGCUAUUUGUUUGUUUCUUUGUUGCGCAUUGAGCGACUGGAAGGAGUGACUGUGGAGACAGCACACUGUUGUCACUCGAGGUACCUGGAAAGAGUUUUUACGGUGACUGGUGUUACCAACCCAAGGUUCUCUGUCAUUACCCCACAUUACUGGAUCCCAAUACAUGUGCUCUAUCCCAAUGCAU